AGUGACCAGCAUCUCAGCCAGAGGCUGCAGCCUGAAUCAACUCCUGGUGAGUGACACUGAGCAGAGAGAGACUUCUGCAUGCCCAGUUUGAAAGCCGUCCUAAAACACGGGUGUGACUACUGCACGGGGAUCUACAUAAAUCCGUGGCAGCUGCUGAGAUACAGGGUGUUUUGUAGCCCAGAAUGAACUGGAACUCAUUGUGUAUGGGAGCACGUGCCACCUGGUUUUUUGUGGUUCUGGGACCCAAGCCCAUGACUUCGUGAGUUUGCAAACCAGGUUUUCUAAUUCGUCACAAUAAAGGACAAUUGUCGGGUGCGUGUGCUGGAGGAGAUACAGUGGCCGUGACAGAGGAAGAAGGAUGCCUAUCUCCUUCCACCUGAUUCUCCUGGACGAGGUCUCCCCCUGAACCCGAAGCUCAUUGAUUUAUGACUACGCUGAGCUGGAAAACCAGGGGUGUCACAGCAUCCGAAGACAUUAGACACCAAAUUCCAUC
rnacentral:lncRNA from 1 species